rnacentral:tRNA from 1 species
UUCCUGGUGGCUCAAUGGUAAAGAAUCUGCCUGACAAUGCAGGAAACACAGGUUCAAUCCCUGCCCUGGGAA